ACGCACAUUGCGCCCGCCAGUAUUCUGGCGGGCAUGCCUGUCCGAGCGUCAUUUCAACCCUCGAACCCCUCCGGGGGGUCGGCGUUGGGGAUCGGCACUUACCUGCCGGCCCCGAAAUACAGUGGCGGUCUCGCCGCAGCCUCUCCUGCGCAGUAGUUUGCACACUCGCACCGGGAGCGCGGCGCGUCCACGGCCGUAAAACAACCCAAACUUCUGAAAUGUUGACCUCGGAUCAGGUAGGAAUACCCGCUGAACUUAAGCAUAUCAAUAAGCGGAGGAAAAGAAACCAACAGGGAUUGCCCCAGUAACGGCGAGUGAAGCGGCAACAGCUCAAAUUUGAAAUCUGGCUCCUUUCGGGGUCCGAGUUGUAAUUUGUAGAGGAUGCUUUUGGUG
rnacentral:rRNA from 1 species